AUAUCAAUAAGCGGAGGAAAAGAAACUAACAAGGAUUCCCCUAGUAACGGCGAGUGAAGCGGGAAAAGCUCAAAUUUAAAAUCUGGCAGGUACCCUGUCCGAGUUGUAGUUUCAAGAAGCGUUUUCGGUGCGCGUCCGGGUAUAAGUUCUUUGGAACAGGACAUCAUAGAGGGUGAGAAUCCCGUUUAUGACCCGGAACUGCGUACUAUAUGUGAAUACGUUUUCUAAGAGUCAGGUUGUUUGGGAAUGCAGCCUAAAAUGGGUGGUAAAUUUCAUCUAAAGCUAAAUAUUGGCGAGAGACCGAUAGCGAACAAGUACCGUGAGGGAAAGAUGAAAAGAACUUUGAAAAGAGAGUUAAAACAGUAC
rnacentral:rRNA from 1 species